rnacentral:rRNA from 1 species
ACGAACGCUGGCGGCGUGCUUAACACAUGCAAGUCGAACGGAAAGGCCCUGCUUUUGUGGGGUGCUCGAGUGGCGAACGGGUGAGUAACACGUGAGUAACCUGCCCUUGACUUUGGGAUAACUUCAGGAAACUGGGGCUAAUACCGGAUAGGAGCUCCUGCUGCAUGGUGGGGGUUGGAAAGUUUCGGCGGUUGGGGAUGGACUCGCGGCUUAUCAGCUUGUUGGUGGGGUAGUGGCUUACCAAGGCUUUGACGGGUAGCCGGCCUGAGAGGGUGACCGGCCACAUUGGGACUGAGAUACGGCCCAGACUCCUACGGGAGGCAGCAGUGGGGAAUAUUGCACAAUGGGCGGAAGCCUGAUGCAGCAACGCCGCGUGCGGGAUGACGGCCCUCGGGUUGUAAACCGCUUUCGCCUGUGACGAAGCGUGAGUGACGGUAAUGGGUAAAGAAGCACCGGCUAACUACGU